rnacentral:rRNA from 1 species
GAUGAACGCUGGCGGCGUGCCUAAUACAUGCAAGUCGAGCGAACAGACGAGGAGCUUGCUCCUCUGACGUUAGCGGCGGACGGGUGAGUAACACGUGGAUAACCUACCUAUAAGACUGGGAUAACUUCGGGAAACCGGAGCUAAUACCGGAUAACAUUUUGAACCGCAUGGUUCAACAGUGAAAGACGGUCUUGCUGUCACUUAUAGAUUGAUCCGGGCCGCAUUAGCUAGUUGGUAAGGUAACGGCUUACCAAGGCAACGAUGCGUAGCCGACCUGAGAGGGUGAUCGGCCACACUGGAACUGAGACACGGUCCAGACUCCUACGGGAGGCAGCAGUAGGGAAUCUUCCGCAAUGGGCGAAAGCCUGACGGAGCAACGCCGCGUGAGUGAAGAAGGUCUUCGGAUCGUAAAACUCUGUUAUUAGGGAAGAACAAAUGUGUAAGUAACUAUGCACGUCUUGACGGUACCUAAUCAGAAAGCCACGGCUAACUACGUG